rnacentral:rRNA from 1 species
ACGGGUGAGUAACGUGUGGGAACGUACCUUUUGGUUCGGAACAACACAGGGAAACUUGUGCUAAUACCGGAUAAGCCCUUACGGGGAAAGAUUUAUCGCCGAAAGAUCGGCCCGCGUCUGAUUAGCUAGUUGGUGAGGUAAUGGCUCACCAAGGCGACGAUCAGUAGCUGGUCUGAGAGGAUGAUCAGCCACAUUGGGACUGAGACACGGCCCAAACUCCUACGGGAGGCAGCAGUGGGGAAUAUUGGACAAUGGGGGCAACCCUGAUCCAGCCAUGCCGCGUGAGUGAUGAAGGCCCUAGGGUUGUAAAGCUCUUUUGUGCGGGAAGAUAAUGGCGGUACCGCAAGAAUAAGCCCCGGCUAACUUCGUGCCAGCAGCCGCGGUAAUACGAAGGGGGCUAGCGUUGCUCGGAAUCACUGGGCGUAAAGGGUGCGUAGGCGGGUCUUUAAGUCAGGGGUGGAAUCCUGGAGCUCAACUCCAGAACUGCCUUUGAUACUGAAGAUCUUGAGUUCGGGAGAGGUGAGUGGAACUGCGAGUGUAGAGGUGAAAUUCGUAGA